CUGCACUCCGUUCCCAGCGAAUGCUCGCGACGCAGGGGGAACAAAUUUUGUCGGUGACACCUACCUUGGCACAGCAGAGUGAAGCUGACCCCCCACCCACUUGAAACGUAAAGGCAGUUAGUGCUUUGUUUGUGCUGAUUUGUGCAGUAAACCAAUUUAGUCAGCGGAAAGGUCGAUAUUUCUGAUGCUACCAGAAACGUACACAAGGUUGCCACCUACAUGUAGAAAAUUGAAUAUUCCACAGCACCUAGGCGAGGGAUCAUCAACCUGUGGCUCUAAAGCCACAUGUGGCUCUCUGGCCCCUCCACUGUGGCUCUUAUAAGAGCAAAUGCUCCUGUCACUCCAUUUCCCAGGUCAUCAUAGAACUCCGACACAGAUGGAGCUCUCCUGCAGUAUGCAGUGUAAUGCCCCAAACCACCACUAGUCAUCUUUACAUGUAAAGCAAUUAAUGCCCUCAAAGUGAACGACUUUCCUUGGAGAACCAGGUUGGAGGGAAAUUCACUUAAUGGAAAUUCUGUUUGGUUUGCAAAAGAUUGAUUGGAGAGUGGCCUGAGGCAGGUAGACUCAGGUAGGCCAAGUCCUGCUUCCACAGCAGUGCCAAGAUGAGCCAUACCAGACUCUUUGAGGACACAGAUAGCAGGACAAACAAAUGGCUCUUCCCUUUUCAUCCCUUUUCUGAGGUAGCAGUGCUGUGAAGAGCAGUGUUUUGUAAAAUAAACACUUGAUAUGUUCCUCAUUGCCUUAGCAAUUACAGCGGAGACAUUGCACUGAGCAUCGAUUUGGAUUUCACCAGACAUCAACUGGACAGCUUCAAACAUUACACUAAGCAGCUCUGCCCUCCUUUAUGUUUGUUGGGUCA